GAUAAACGCUGGCGGCGCACAUAAGACAUGCAAGUCGAACGAACUUAACCUAUUCUUAACGAUUAGGAGCGGUUAGUGGCGGACUGGUGAGUAAUGUAUAAGUAACCUGCCUAUUAGAGGGGAACAACAGUUGGAAACGACUGCUAAUACCGCAUAUGCCAUACAAACCACAUGGUUUGAGUGGGAAAGGAGAAAUCCGCUGAUAGAUGGACUUAUAUCUGAUUAGCUAGUUGGUGGGGUAAAGGCCUACCAAGGCGACGAUCAGUAGCCGGACUGAGAGGUUAAACGGCCACAUUGGGACUGAGAUACGGCCCAG
rnacentral:rRNA from 1 species